AGCCGCAGCUCCGCGGGCAGAGAGGGCGGAAAGAGGCCGUGCCGUUCCCCAGGGAGCGGAGGGGCAUGCCCUCCCGCUCCCAUCGCCCCCGCUGCGCACGCCGGUCCUGCCGCGCCGCUCCGGCGGCGGCGGUGCGUGCCCCGGGGGCUGGUAGGUGCGGGGCCGGGGCUGCCCAAGGACGGCGCGAGUGCGAUUGUGAGCACGGGCAGUAAGUUAUUUGCAGAACCUGGUUGCCCGCAUUUCCAAGCGAAAGAAUACGCUGCAUCAGCAAUCACGUACUUUAAACAGUGUACUGGGAAGCGCGGCCGCGCAUCUGCCUCCGCGGCACCUCCCCAGAGGGCCGGCGGGCACAGGGCCCGGCCGCCGCUGCUGUUGCCGCCGCGCCCCGCGCCACCAGCUGACCACGCCGGGGCCAAUGGGCUGCGGGAGCGCGGCGGCGGCUGGAGCAGGUGUCACCGCCCGCGGCCUGCGGGGGGUUUAGUGGGGCCGGGAGCGGCGGGAGGCCCGGGAGAGGUCGCCGGGAGAAAGGGGCUCUGGCUGGGCGCUGAGAGCUGUGCCGCCGCUGCACGGGUAGCGCACGGCGUUCGUACCGCUGUCCCGGUGCGGAGAGCGGUUGUUCAUCCAUGGGUGUUUCUGGGGCACAGUCACGUCCUCGGUGUUGCCGUGGGUUGUGCACACACACAACUGCUAGAAGUGUGGGAACUGGGUCUCUUUAGCUUGGAGGAGCCUGAGGGGUGAUGUCAUUAAUGUGUAGAAAUAUGUAAAGGGUGAUUGUCAUGAAGAUGGAGUCAGGCUCUUCUCGGUGACAACCCGUGAUAGGACAAGGGGUAAUGGGUACAAACUGGAACAGAGAAGGUUCCACUUAAAUAUGAGAAGAAACUUCUUCUCAGUAAGGGUAACAGAGCACUGGAACAGGCUGCCCAGGGAGGUUGUGGAGUCUCCUACUCUGGAGGCAUUCAAAACCUGCCUGGACACCUUCCUGUGUAACCUCAUCUAAGUGUUCCUGCUCCAGCAGGGGGAUUGGACUAGAUGGUCUUUUGAGGUGCCUUCCAAUCCCUAACAUUCUGUGAUUCUGUGUGAAGUGCGCUUCGCAACACCUGUGACCGCUGGGAAACCAGGAAACCUCAUCGCCCCUGAAUUAAAACGUUGACUUGAGUGCCAGCAUUAUGAGGACACUUAGUAGUACACCUGAUGGUGCAACACAGUGUUCCAGGUUGUAACUAACUAGUUGCUAAGAGCAUCCCAGGGACCAGAAGAUCAUCUUGAAGGUUCAUGCACCGAUGGCUUCCUGCUCUCUGAUGGGGCACAAGGUACAGUGGAUAGCAGAAACAAUCAGUUUUGUUGGUAGAGACUUGGAUAUUCACUCUAGCACUGGUGUGAUCUAAGGGAACCGUAUUUAUACCAGUCUUUGUUUUAAAGGCACUGAAUGACCCUUUCUGUCAGCAGAGGUUUGAUCACCAAAGCGAUCCUUGACGCUAGAAGCAACUGAGGGGUCUUGUGUCUUGGACUUCUACUCCCUGAAAAGGAAAAGAUCUUAAAGUGCUUGAUUGCAGGGUAAAUAUUAAAUUUCUUCACCCUCUGGAAAACUUAUUUUAAAGAUUAAAAAAACUACCAGCAGAGAUGUCUAGGCUUGGAUGGGCACUAUAAACACCAUCUCCCUACAUUUGUCUUCUGAAAUAAAUAUUUGAACCAUAAGGUGUCUCAUCAUAGCUAUGCUACUGGAAGGCAAAAAGAACCAGUGCCCAUGCAAUGUAUUCCCUACUUCUAUUCCAUAACAUAGAGUCAAAGCCUCUUAAUCUGGUAACCACAGUGCUCAAAUUCUGCAAAAAAUGAAGGGCUAUGUAGGAGAACACAUGCUAGCAGCUAGCCUAGAUGAAAUUAGCACAGUUUAAGAUCUCUGCUUAUGCAGAGGAGUUAUAUGCCAGGCAUGGACAAAGAACCCUUUGGAAGCACAGUGCCUAAAUUUCCCACUGGAGCCUUUAGGUUAUUUUACCUUAUCUUACCUGGGUUCACAGCCCCAGCAAGUACAUAUAGAGCAAUCAGACCCUUCUGUUGCUCUUUGUGUGUAUAUUAGUUUUACAGGCUAAAAGGGUUUGGUCUCAUUGAAGUCUCAAGGUUCAGUGCAAGAGGUGCCUGGGUGAAAUGUAAUUGCAACACAAUGGGAGACCAGACUAAUAAUGUUAGUGGUGUGCCUCAAUACAAGUGGAUCUGCAGAGCAGUGCAGUUGCCGCUGAGGACCUGAUGUCUGCACUAUAUGUAUUGCAGAAGGGUUCACUUUAGACCAGUUCUUACCUGAAUAUUCAUUAGUGGCUGGAGUGCAUUAAGUGAACCCCUGGAGCACAUCUUUUGGUUUGGUUUUAUUUAAAAGCAAUGCAGCUUGCUUUCUGUCAAGUUAUAAACCAAAGCUCAGUAUAAGUCCAGAUGGUCAGGAGAUUUACUCUGUAUUUGAACUACAGUGCUACUGUAAAGGCACCCUUGGUGUGCAAGUCUCGCUCGACUUGAGUUUUGUAAGCUCUCAAAUGCAGGUUAUUCUGUGUGGAGCUCCACAGCUUCACUGAAAACACUCCUGCACAUCCUUCUGUCUUGUGAUCAGCCUCUGAGAGGAAGAGUUUGGGGCUGUCUAAGCCUUAGGCAGUUUGUCCCCUACUUUUCUAACUGCACCUCCUCCUAUGAUAUACAGGAACUCACUCCCUGGGUCACCUCUAUGUCACUAAUAUGACAUCACAGACAUUAAUACUCACUGGACAUAACUUGAUAACCACUAUCCUCAGUUUGCCAUUUAGUCACAUGCACUUAAACAUCCUCCAGGGUUACAGCAUCCUCAAAACUUACAGAAAAACUACCUGGCCUUUUCAGAGCACACUUUGAAUGCUCUUCAGUUCUACUCUCCUCUCUUCCAUAGAAAACUCAGCAAUGCUCACAGAAAAUCCAGACCUCAUACAAAGAAAAACUUGCACUCAGCUUUGUGAAAUCUAAAUGAAGUAGAAUGUAUAAACACUCUUGUUCCCUGUUUUUCUUCUUUCGGCCAAGAAAAUCUCAAGACAGGCUAACUAACAUGCCAGGCUCAGCCAAGCUUCUUCCUGGUCAAAGACUCUUCUUUAUUAUGCAUUUCUAGAACUUUGAAAGGAAACUUAACUCCUUUGUGGGUGGGUUCUUUGUGCCUGUGUCCUUUCUAAAGAAGUAUCUGUUCAGUCUCUGGACAGUAUUAUAAUAAGGGCUAAUUAGAUUGUAGGCUGCCAUUAGCCUUCAUGUGCUACUGUGGACUUUAUACUCCCUCUCUAAUGAGAGACAAGCAGCAAAGUCUUUUGUGACUAUGAUUGAAAGAGGUUUGCACUGGAUUUUAUUUUCCUUUGGAUUUGGUCUUAAUUUUUUUCAGCAAAGUAAAAAUGAGAAGUUUACUAAUUUGCCCUUUAUAUUUCCAUAUUAAUGCAAUUUUUUGGUACUUUGUAAAAUGUUCACAUUUCAGGUUUGUGAUUAAGUGCAUAAGCCAUGGUAAGGUAGACUAUAAACAUGUAAAAUGUGAUAUUCAGUGCUAGCCUGUGAUUUUUCAGAUCCUGUUCUUUAAAUAUUUGUUUGUAUGUAAAUUGUAUAAAGCCCCAGCUGAAUUUUCAUAAGUCACAUACUGUAUUUGAAAGUGAAAAUUUCACAUGGGUCUUACUUGUCAUUCAGUAGAGAUGAGAAACAACUUUAAAAAAGAGAGAGUCCAAUGCACUGGUAUAUCUGAGAUGGGAGAUGUUAAUAAAUGCUGUCUACUAUAGGGGUGGAAGCAGGAUGCCUAAAAAUCUGUCAGAGAACUGAGUGGAAAAAAGGACUAAAAAGGUGUGUUUUAUAUACAAUUGUUAAUAUAAAAUAUAAAAUUAAUUGCACAGUAGUUUUGCUGCUUGGCAUUUUGACAGAAUGAAGUGUAAUAUCUUGGAAUCCAAGUUUUAAUCUCUUCUAUGCAGGUUAGCAGAUGACAAAGCUUGAGAGUUUUUUGGUCAGGGUGUUUUUAGGUUUUGUUCUUGUUCUUUGGUUGUUUUUUUUUUUUAAGAAUAACAUUUGAAUUUCUGAAUGGCAUUGUAUGUUGUGAAUAUCAAAUAUCUUUGAGAGAUUUUUGAGAGAUGUUUUGAGACCCAUGAGGUGCCUUUUCUAAAGCAAUUGCUUUAAAUGCAAAUGAGUUGUUUACAAGGAAUUAUGCCACAGGCAGUUCCUCCAAAGCAAUAAUAAUAAGCAUAAUAAUGCAUGCUUGAACUCAUAAAAAAUUCGUAAUACUGCCUCAUCACAAUGUGGUCAUGGUGAUGCACCUGAUACUGCAAUUUCUAAUAUUUGAGGCAGAGUGUACAAACUGUGCCAAGGUAAGUGUACUUGCCUGUGUGGGAGUGUGACUCCCACAUAAGCAGACCUGCAAAAAAUCAGUUUUCUUGCAAUGGAUAUAAGUGAAAUUAUCAAAACAUUGCAAGUUAAAAAUCAGCAAGCAAUUAUUGAAAAAAAGCUUGCCUGUGCCUACAGCAUUAGAGUUAUUAGAAAUGUUCUCAAUUGAUAGGUAUUUAUUUAAUAUACAGCUCUUCAGUUGAAUGAACUAUCACUUGGUUCAUAAAUGGCCCCACAUAUCAGAGGAUUCAACUCAGAAUCUUUGCGUUAUCUGCUAUAACUGGGCCCAUUGUUAAUAUAAAAAUGGAAGGAUGGAGAAAAAAAGAAUGAAAAAAAUGAAAAGAUCACAUUUAUACAGAGAUAAAGAGCAGCGUGUUUAAUAAGACUUCUGGAGCUACUUGCUUGUAUAAUGACUGAUUAUUGCCAAUUUAGUUUCAAGUUUAGGUUAAAGAAUUACAGUGAGUUACUAAUAGGGCAUAUGUAAAUACUAUAUGUAUUUAACAAUGGGCAACAGAGCUGGAGCAGAGACGACCAGGAGAUAAGUGGAACAAAAUUUGGGGCAGCUGAAAAUUAAUUCAUCGUCUUUUCAAGUUAAACUUUGCUUUAUUGUGCAAAACCAUAGACUUCCAUGCUAUAAAACAGAAAUGAACAGAUAAAACUUGCUGUCUUCAGCCUCCCUGUUAAGUUAAAAUUUCCCAAAGCUAAGAUUAUAUAAAUAAAAAGCCUUAUGGUAUAAAUCAAGAGUUCUGACUAUGUAGUGAAAUGGGGACUGUGUAAGGAGAUUAACUUUUGUUCACGUUUGGAUCAGAUACAAUCGUGUACAACAAAGCUGUUUCACGGUAAGUAUUUUAUAUCUCAAUUUUGUAUGCUUUGUGCUGAUUACAUCGGUCAGUGUUAGUGCAGGAAGGGAAGGCAGGUAACAGGCCUCUGAGGUGCAGAAGGGCAAUACUGAUCAGGAGUAUUCUACCUGCCCACAGGUGAUGAGGCCCACUGUAAACCAGGGCAAACAUUCCUCUGGUGUAGCAUGCAGUGUCACGGAGGGAUGUAGCCUUUGGGAAAUGGUUUAGGUACAUGCAGUGCACAGUUUUAAAUCACCUGCUGUCCUGUUUUAAGAACUUAGCCCUUACACUACAUCUGCCUAUCAUCAAAAUCUUGAGCAGGCUGGAUAAGAAGUAUUGUUUAGGAAUAUCAGUAAACAGUAAAAAAGCAGAACUGCUUUCCAUGGGGAAAUAUGAUUCAGCUUCUUGUUCAUUAAAAAUGUGCAAAAGAAGACAAAAUUUCCACAAGUAGUUAUAAAGCCAGAAAAUUUAACCCUGCACAUAACUGUGUACUGAGUGUCUGCCUUCUCUUAGACCCUGUUGGUAGAAGACAGUCCUGACAUAACAAUUGUUACCAGGUACCUGUCAAACACAUGAAAUUCCAUUUGAACACAAUGAAGUGGUGUUUGCUGUCGGGAGAGCUGAACAUAGGAACAAGUAACCCAGAGAGGCUGUGGUCUCUAUAUCUGUGAGAUAUUAAAAACUCAUCUAGAAGCAGUCCUGAGCAACCUCCUGUAGCUGACUCUGCUUGAGCAGCGGGAUUCAACUACAUGAUCUCAAGAGGCCCCUUCCAACCCCAAGAAUUCUGUGAUGCCAGAGUGUAAAUGGAGCUACAUAUGUAACUAAUGUAUAACUCACCAAGUCCACAUAAACUUUCUAGAUUAUGGUGUUAAAAUCAGCUCUUUGGUGGGUUAAAUCCCGUGAGUGCAUCACUGUGGUACCUCCUCUAAACAUCUGAGCAAAGGAGUUAGAGGUGGGAUGAGAAACAAGGCACAGGAAUGACGCAGGUGCUCCACACCACUUCUGAAGCAUUGUCUGGUUAAAAGAGUUAUAUUAUUGUUAAUUUGUGCUGGAGACUUAAUAUGUGUAGUUUGUGAAUUGAAUUGGAAUCAAUCUCUACCCCUAAAUCCCCAGUCAAAAGUUGAAGAAUUAUUUGUCUGCACCUUGUCUGUACUCCAAAUUCUCAUCCAUAAACCUGAACUAGUAAAACUUCCUGUCUGUGUGCUGACUGAAAGUCAUCUCAGCAAAUACUAUUUCUUCAUUUAUUUUAAAACCAUACAUGUGUAAUUAUACUUCACCCAGUUACUUCUUGGACUUCUGAGGAAACCUGAUAUAUAUGUAUAAAAAAAUUCUUAAGCAAACAGAAGAUAAUUUUCUGUGACAACUGGAAAAUAGAGUAAAUAUGAAGCAUGUCCUGUUUAGAAUGGGUGGGUAAUUCUCUGGUUCAGCUGAAGUCAGGUUCAACUGAUCAAGGGAGAACAGUAAUACGCAUCUAGCACAACAGCCAGAUUACAGGGGGCAUUUCAUUCAGUAGCAGAGAGGCAGUGCACUGGCUAGCAAGGACAAUAGUAACCGAAUACCCAUCUCAAAGAUUUGGCAUAGCCUUUUUUUUUUUUUAGCAGUUUGGCUUUGAUGAUUUUGCAGAAGCUUGUAUUGUGUUUGGGCUGCCAAGCAGACCUGGCGGUACCUGCUGUCGUCUGCUGGCCCCUCUGCAGGAGAUGCUUAUCGCUGCCAGCUCUUCCUCUCGUGGUAGGGGUGACUCUCAGCAGAAUGCCAUGCUUCUGGCUUUUUAGUAUCUGCCAGACAAUGCAGCAGUAAGCAGGCUCUCUCCGUCACCAGCUGGAAGCUGUUGUUCUAUCUAAUUUUUUAUUCUAGUGCCCCUCCUCAAAAUGCCUUUUACACCACUUGUAGAAACUGUGUCAUUUUCAGUAUGUGUCUUUCCCGUGAUACAAUCUGCUGCUGAAGGGUCACAUCUCUCUGGGCUAACAGUGGCAGGAGGUCCCUACCAUACUGUGAUGAUAUUGCACUACAGAUGGAUGCAUAGGAUGGUUUUCCUGGAUAGUGAUGCUUUUUUUUUCUUUUUUUUUUUUCCUCCUCCACAUAUCAAAAAUGUUUGGUCAAAAUGGAUUAAUAUUGUGGAAAUGGAGAACAUGAACAAGAAAUCUCCAGGAGGAACACAAUUGUGUGUACUCCACAGAUGCGGCAUAAAGAAAUGGCAGUUUAAGCAGAUGUGAAGCGGCAUCAAUAUCAGGCUUAACAGUGUGAUUGCUGGCUGAUAAAAUGCAACCAAAUAAACCAGAAGAAGAGACCAAAUUAGGAUGUCUUUGCUGGAAGUAAUCUUGGAGACUGUAAAUAUGAUAAUUAGGAUAGCUUUAAAAUCCUUUAGGUGCCUUUUUGAAGUAUAUUAGCUGAUAAAUCUGACUAGUUAAUCUAGUAACUGGUGAUUGCUAGGGAUAAUUGAAAAUGCACAAGAAUUUAAUUUUUUGCCGAAAAAUUCAUGUGAAUGGGGGUGGAAGAAAUCCUGUUUAUGAACAUUUUGCAAAAAAAUGUAGCCUGUUUUCAAGCACCUUCAAGUCUUGCAUGUACUUAUGCAGCCACUGACCGAGAAGCUUUAUCAUUUAUGAGCAGCCCAGAUGGCACAUUGGGAUUCAGAACCCAACCUAAAUCUUUGGAAGACUUGAUUUAAUUUUGGCUGGUUUAAAUGAAUCACAAAACUGUCCCUUCUCUUUGUGUUUUCUGAACCUAAGCAGUCUGCAGUUUGAGAGGGUUUUUUUGUUUGUUUGUUUGGCUGUUUGUUGUUGGCAUCGUAAUAUAAGAGAUGUCUUCUUUUAAUCAGAAUAAAUUAUAUCAUGAAUGUUUACAGCAAUGAUUGGAAAGAGGGUUUAUUAAAAUUUCAGACGUUCCUGAUGGAAGCUGAGGAAAUCUUGUAUUUUCCACCUUGUCACUGAAAAAAUACCCAAGUAUGUCUAUUAUCCUGAUAAGAGAUUAACAUUGGGACAGCAGCUUGCUGCUUAUCACAGAACUAAAUAGAUACAGUGGAUUCAGAUAGAAGAAGUCCACAUCUUUCUGUCAGGGCCAACAUGCCUACUUAAAACCUAAUUAACUGUGAUAUAAUGAUGUGUCUUCUCUUGGGAACUACUGGUCUGUGAUAAGCAUAGGGUAUAAUGCAGGUGAAUGCAAACUACUAACAUUCAGCAUUAGUAAAAGUUUUAAAUGGCUACCUAAGUCUCUACGAGCUGCAUUGUCUUAAUAUAGAAGUCAUCUUUUUAAGAUAUUUAAUAUACUGGAAACACUUAAAUACUACAUCUUUUCCACUUCUGUGAUGCAGUUCUUCUAUCCUUCAUAAAUGAAUUAGCAUGUCUAAAUAACCCCAUACCACUUCUAUUAUAACUAAUCUAUAAACAGUUUCCUGAUUCAACUAAACAUCUAAAUUUAUGCCCACUUUUAACGCCUUCAGUGGGUCUGAGGUGAAAAUUUGACCCUUCUUCUGAAUUUAAUGAUGCAGCUUUCACUGAUAAGGAUACAUGAUCAAGCCUGAGCUCAUGUAACUUACUUAUUCAAGGCCAGUGUUCUAGCAUCAUUAAAACAUUAAAACCAAUGCACAGAGUGUAGUUUCUAUGCCACAACUGGUACACAAUACAUUUUGAGUGACAUCAUUCUUCUUUCAUUAUGAGCAGAUAUUCUUAGUUUUCACUAAUGUGCCAAUAAGUUGAAAGGGAAAAGAAGUAAACGAGCAGAAUAUUAAAGCAAAACAAAAAGCAGCUCAGAAUGAAAGUGUGCAUGCAAAUGAACAUAUGUGAUAGUGGCAGGAAGUGGUUGCAUCCUAAGUCAUCUGCCUUUUUUCCAGGUUUCACAGUAUUCUCUAAACUCUAAAAUUAUAAUGAUGGAUCAAAUCAUGUUCACAAAAUCAAAACAAAAUACAGUGUUAUUAGGUUGAACAGAUAUACCAUGUAGAGUUUGUUACCAUUUGCUAAUCUCCAAAUCAUUUAUUAAGAUCAGCUCUCAUUUUUUAAUUUCAGUAAUCAGUGUCACUGUGUUAUGAAAGCACCUCUGCAGUCUAGACAGUACAUACUCAUUUAUGUGAUAAAUAAUGGAUAAACACUGAGCGUGCCAUUAGCUGUUAAUGCAGUAGAUUGAUUCCCUGCAGCACAUACUCUCCAUCCUUGUUUUAGCACUUAUGCCACCUGUCUCUUGCACUUACUGUAUGAUGCUUCAAUAAUGAGAAUGGGGUUCCCUGAUCAUUCUUAAUUUAGCUCAUUUUUAUCAUUGCAUAAGUAGGUUGGCAUUACUGUGACAGAUAUGCAAAUCAAAAGGUGCCUCACUACUACUUUUAUGACUGCUAUCUCUAUUCUAUCCAAUGCUUUUAGCAUAAUGCAGAUUAAUUGUGGAUAACCAGAGAGAAUCGGUAGACCUAUUUUCUUUCCACAGAUUUCCAUUUUAACAUAUCACUACUGCUUUGGCCAGGUGGCUGGGACAACGACAAGUUAUUUCAAGUCUCUGCUCCCAUUUCCUUCAGCUGUAGGAGCAGGCAUUCAAAGUGAAUUAAAGCAAAGAGACAAAUCAGUAAGUCACCAGGGCAGGAUGGCAUUCAAACAAUAUUUUGAAGGAAGCCAAGGGUGAAAUUGCAGAACUGCUGGCCAAGUUGUCUCACAAAUCUUUAGAAAUGGCCACUGUGCCAGACUGCCAGACUUCCACCUACAGCAAGGGCUCUAAAAGAGACCUAAGGAACUGCAGACCAACUGCAGACCAACAGCUGACUCCAUUCCUGUUUAGGUAGUAGAAUAUAUCUCACAGAGUAAGACAGUUGCUCACAUGGAUAAACAUCACCUCUUGGGAAGAAGUCAGCAUGGCUUCUUUAAAAGGAAAGGCCAUCUCAACCACCUGCUGAAGUUCUGUGAGGGCUGUCAAGCACACAGAUAAAGGGGGACUAAAUAUUUUUGAUUUUCAAACUAUCUUUGACACAAUUCCAUGCCAGGGGCUAUUACAAAAGGUAAUUUUCCAUGAGGAUGGGGGAGAUGUUCUGUUAUGGUCUGAAAGCUGGUGAAAGGAUUUGGCAAAUGGAAAAGUUUGAUGAUCACCACACUAAGGGUGUGGUCAGUUACCAGGAUUCAGUGCUUUAACCAGUUUUAUUCAACACCUUCAUCAGUGACAUGUAGUAGGAUGUAUGCAGUGAAUUCUCCAAAACUUCUUUUUGGGCAAUAAAAUGCAAUGCUAAUAAUAAGGAACACGAUAAACAACUUGUUAAGUUGGAUAAGCAGGCAAGGAGGAGUCAUACUAGCUUCAAUGCAGACUACAGAAAAAUCAUCUAAACUCCAUACCAGCACAAUGUGAACUGAAAAGCUGUAACUCAGAGAUCUUGGAGUUACCAUUGACGCUUCCUUGACGUCAUCAGUUCAAUGUGAGGUGGUAGCCAAAAAAGCCAAUAAAAUGUACAUCAUCAGGAAGGGUAUUGAGAACAAGACAGGAAACAGAUUGCCAUUUUGUCAGGCGUCAGUGCAUCCACAUUGUAGUACUAUGUGCUACUCCAUUCACCAAAGUUCAAGAAGACACAGUGGAAUCAGAAAAUGUAUGGAGAAAGCAGCUAAAAUUGUUGAGGAGAAAGAGCAGCUGUCUCAUAAGACAUUAAAAAAACCCAGGAAUUUUCACUUAGUAAAGAGUGUAGAGGCAUGUAUGAUCUAAAUCAUGAAGAUGACAAAAUACUAAGAGACAGCCAACAAAACUAGAACAUCAGUUUAAAAUGUAUUUUUAAAGUACUACUUUACAAAGCAGGUAAUAAAUUUCUGGAAAACGCUGCUUCUCCCCAAAAUGCAUCUCCUUCUGACACAGUUGGACAGAGAAUGUUUGGCUGAAUGGACCACUGCUCUGAAACAAGGGGCCAUUUUAAUUCUUAUAUUCUUGUGUAGCAUUUGAGGCUAACAUAGGCAAAGUACCCUACUUGCACACCUUUGUCACAGUUUUCAGUCAAAACCAGGAAAAUAUGGAAAAAAGCGUGCUUCUUCACGCACACAAUGCAAAGACAGAUCAGCAGACCAGAGGUGCUGCAGAUGUCAAAUGUGUGUCCCACAAAUAAAACGAAGGCCCAGGGCAGGAGAUGAAGUUCACAGCAGAUGAGGAAAACUGGUUUUAGCCUCACUAAGGUCUGUGGAUGUUACAGCUAUGAACAUGUAGUUUCUGCAUGACAGAGCAGUGUGCCUCAGCAUUGUCAAUGCACAGUAGUUGAUGGAUGUGAGUGUUGUUAUUUUAGGUGUUUUGAAUGUUUUUGACCCAUGACAAUGCACUAGAUAUGGCAUGGUGAUAGAUCAGGGCAAGAAUGUCCAUGGCAGAUGCAUGAUUAUACGUGCAUAAGAAGUUGUUUGUGAUUGUAAUGUGAUUCAUUAUGUACUGAUUGUUCAAAAGGGUGUUUACACGUAGAUUUGUUACAAAUACUCGUAUAUGGUUCAAUUAAAUAAAAUUCUUCUGUUGUAGAUUCUAACAGUCUAA